rnacentral:sRNA from 1 species
AAUCUAUAUCAAUCCACACACCGAGAACUAUUUCAGUUGGCACUGCUAACCGUUAGUAAUAGCGGUUAGCGGUUGAGGAUUGGGUGUGUCGUACGGCACAUCCAAAUCUCAGUCGUGAGUCGUACAUUCAUGUACGGCUGGCGUCGGUCUCAACUAAUUCCAACCAACUCACACCAAACUAAAAAAAAUAAAAAUCGAGUGUUCAGCUUAUAGCUGUAACGCUCACAAACUAAGACAACUCUCAACAAUGGAUAUCUUGGCUCUCAGAUCGAUGAAGAACGCAGCGAAAUGCGAUACGUAGUGUGAAUUGCACAAAUACGUGAAUCAUCGAAUCUUUGAACGCAAAUUGCGCUCGAGGCUUCGGCCAAGAGCAUGUCUGCCUCAGCGUCGGGUUAAUACUCAUUCAACUAACCCAUAGCGGUUAGGAGAGUGGAUCUGGCUGUCUCGGUGCAUUACUAAUCCUAAUACACCGGGUCAGCUGAAGUGUGCAGAUGUCAAACCAUGGACCGUUACAACGGGCCUCUACUGGGUAGGCAACUCGCUUGCUGAAAUGCUUUAGUAGAUGGCUUGGGUGCUGUGUUUGGCACAAAGCAGGAGUACUUGCUCGUACAAGUACGACACCCCUAUUCUCGACCUGAGCUCAGGCAAGA